CAUAGAUGGUGAAUAAUGCAGCUGAAAUGGUGGGGCUGAGAUGGCUGGAGAGGUUUCCCCAGGCAUCCCAUUUUUUGGGAUCACUGCCACUUCCACUACUUCACUCAUGCUUAUGGGAAUAAGCAGAUGUUCAGGUGACGUUGGAACUUUAAGAAGGCCAAUAGUUGAAAGAAGUGGAGAAAGUACCCUUUGACUGGUCCCACAUUUGGCUGCUAUCAUUUAAGCUUGUUAGUAAACACAUUUUUUUAGCCGCUUUCACGGACAGGUUUUUCCUUACUAAUGCAGAUACUAGUAGGAACAUCAUUUGCCAUUUUUAGUUAUACACAUGACUAGUUAUAGGGAAAUGAGUAUCUUCUGAGGUUUUUGGUUUAUGUUCACGAAUUGAUCAGCAUGACAAAACUUAAUGAUUCUUCCGUAUGAUCAUCAUAGGAGAUAAUUCCGGUUGAACUAAAAAACAAAAGAGAAAAUAUCAAAAUCCAAAAUUGCUUUUGAUCCUCAUUCAAUAUUCAAGGAACCGUGGGGCAGCCCGGCUGACUCCUCCUUCCUUUUGUAUUCCUAUGCACCAGCUUAUGUCAUCCUAGCUGACCUAAUACCCCCACGUGAAAGACGGGCAAGGGCCAUCGACCCCUUUUUUGGCCUUCCUUCGUUUCCUUCUUCCUUAAUCCCCUCUCCACAUUGCUUUUUAUUCAAAGAAUUUCUCCUUCCACUUUGCUUUAGUAGUGCCCCUCCCCUUUAGGAUAUUGUCUUUAUCUUAAUCAGAAGCCCGUCCAUUCAUUGUAUAGUCUAAAAGAAGGAAGCACACCAAAGUAGGUGAACCGACUGAUGAAUUUCAGGGAUAGUUUCCUAGAAACAGAGCCUGUGUGUCUGUUUUCCCAUGGUGUCUGUUUUUCUUUACUUUGUAAUGUCUGCUGGACCAACUUUAGUCAUCUUCAAUCAUCCAUUGCUUGCGUCAUAUAAUAGUUUAGGGGUGUUUAUCAUGGCAGAUAGUGAUGGAACCGAAGUUGCCUGCAAUUAUUAAAGGUGAAGUAAUAUUUUAGACAUUGCAUUAGACGAAAAGUCCGUGUUCUUUUUCGCCUGUAUGUUAGCCCAGUAAUGACCAUUGAUUCACAUUAUUGUGUGUGAAAUUGGAUUCUGUGAAAUGGCACUUGGCGUCGACUCGGAGCCAAGGUUCAAUUUUCAUUAGUGUGACAUGUUUCAAUCUA